rnacentral:rRNA from 1 species
UAAGGAAUAUUGCUCAAUGGGAGAAAUCCUGAAGCAGCAACGCCGCGUGGAGGAUGAAGGGUCUAUGACUUGUAAACUCCUGUAAAGAAGGAAAAAAUUCCCAUUAGAUGGGAGAUGAUGGUACUUCUGGAGUAAGCCCCGGCUAACUACGUGCCAGCAGCCGCGGUAAUACGUAGGGGGCAAGCGUUGUCCGGAUUUACUGGGUGUAAAGGGUGCUCAGGCGGAUUUGUAAGUCAGAGGUGAAAUCUUACAGCUUAACUGUGAAACUGCCUUUGAUACUGCAAGCCUAGAGUAUGGAAGAGAGUGAUCGAAUAUCUGGUGUAGCAGUGAAAUGCGUAGAUAUCAGAUAGAACACCAAUGGCGAAGGCAGUCACUUGGUCCAUUACUGACGCUAAAGCACGAAAGCGUGGGUAGCAAACA